rnacentral:misc_RNA from 1 species
AAAGACACAUAGUGUAAGAAACAAGAAGGAUAAAUUCCUUAAAAUAUCUAAUACAACUAAGAUACUCUUUAAUCCCUAGUACUAGAGAUAAAAACCUCCAUACAUCACAAUAAGCCUCUUCAAAUCAUCAUCCAAGCUAAAUAGAAUAUGAAAACAUAUGAAAUAAUAAUUGUCAUGCAGAAGCAUGUUUACCAGAUAUGCUCCUCCCUUAGUUCUCUUCAUCACCAUCAGUUUUUUU